rnacentral:rRNA from 1 species
AACGAACGCUGGCGGCGUGCUUAACACAUGCAAGUCGAACGCGAAAGGGACUUCGGUCCUGAGUAAGUGGCGCGCGGGUGAGUAACGCGUAGAUAACCUGUCUUCAUGUCUGGAAUAAUACGCCGAAAGGGGUACUAAUACCGGAUAUCUUGCUUUUCAUAAGUUAUGCAAGCAAAGGUGGCCUCUGCAUAUGCUACUGCAUGAAGAGGGGUCUGCGUACCAUUAGCUAGUAGGUGGGGUAAUGGCCUACCUAGGCGACGAUGGUUAGCGGGUCUGAGAGGAUGAUCCGCCACACUGGCACUGGAACACGGGCCAGACUCCUACGGAGGCAGCAGUGAGGAAUAUUGCGCAAUGGGGGAAACCCUGACGCAGCGACGCCGCGUGAGUGAGGGAAAAGGGCCUUCGGGUCGUAAAGCUCUGUCAAGAGGAAAGAAGUGUACAAUGGCUAAUACCUGUUGUAUUUGACGGUACCUCUAAAGGAAGCACCGGCUAACUCCGUGCCAGCAGCAGC